GUUCUAUCGCCGCCAACUUGUUUGGCGGAGGAAAGUCCGGGCAACACAGAGCAUCCUGCUUCCUAACGGGAAGGCGCCGGCAGCCGGCGACAGCAAAGUGCCACAGAAAAGAUACCGCCCCGGUUUUAAUUGGGGUAAGGGUGAAAAUGUGAGGUAAGAGCUCACAACAUUGCCGGGCGACCGGGGAUGAUGGUAAACCUCAGGAGUUGAAAAACCAAAUAGGUCCUGAAAGCGGAGCUGCUCGCUCCCGUGUUACGUAUACGUAGCCGUUAGGAUGGGUAGGUUGUUUAAACCUGUCAGCAAUGGCAGGGCCAGAUUAAUGAUAGAAACUGCCCGUUAAACGGCAGUACAGAACCCGGCUUAC
rnacentral:RNase_P_RNA from 1 species